rnacentral:rRNA from 1 species
CCUACGGGUGGCAGCAGUGGGGAAUAUUGGGCAAUGGAGGCAACUCUGACCCAGCAACGCCGCGUGAAUGAUGAAGUUCUUCGGAUUGUAAAGCUCUGUGAUGGGGGAUGAACACAAUGACGGUACCUCAAUAGCAAGCCACGGCUAACUACGUGCCAGCAGCCGCGGUAAUACGUAGGGGGCAAGCGUUAUCCGGAAUGACUGGGCGUAAAGGGGGCGUAGGUGGUUUAGUAAGUCUGCAGUGAAAGUCCGGGGCUCAACCUCGGCGCUGCCGACAAAACUAUUGAACUUGAGUGCAGGAGGGGUAAGUGGAAUUCCUAGUGUAGCGGUGGAAUGCGUAGAUAUUAGGAGGAACAUCAGGGGCGAAGGAGGCUUACUGGACUGUAACUGACGCUGAGGCUCGAAAGCGUGGGGAGCAAACAGGAUUAGAUACCCCGGUAGUC